UACGUAGGGUCCGAGCGUUGUUCGGAAUUACUGGGCGUAAAGCGCACGUAGGCGGAUUUGUAAGUCAGGGGUGAAAUCCCCGGGCUCAACCCGGGAACUGCGUCCGAUACUGGGAGGCUUGAAUCCGGGAGAGGGAUGCGGAAUUCCAGGUGUAGCGGUGAAAUGCGUAGAUAUCUGGAGGAACACCGGUGGCGAAGGCGGCAUCCUGGACCGGCAUUGACGCUGAGGAGCGAAAGCCAGGGGAGCAAACGGG
rnacentral:rRNA from 1 species